CUCUGUCUCUUCAUCCUUUUCUCCCCGCUCCCAUCUCCUCCUUCACCUCUCCUCCGCCUCCCCGCCAGACCCCAACGCCGCCCAAGAAAGCUCCUUUCAAGGACCGCGCCACAGCAAGGUCGACAGCCCGGGGCGCCACAUUCGCACGACCAUUUUCUGUGCCACCCGCGUCUUCCAGCUCACACGCGAACUUGCACACAAAUCCGACGGCCAAACCAUUGGCCUCUCCACCAAGCCGAACCUUCCAUCAUCGCCGCCACCGGCUCCGGCACCACCCUGCCUUUUUCUCCUCCCCCGCCAGGUGUUUUCUUUUUCGCAUAGCAAAAGCAUCACUUGGAAAGCAACAGCGCCAGAGUGAAUCCCUGGAUUCCAAACUCCAAAGGAAAAAAAAAUUUCGCUUUUGUUGCCAUGAGAGCCCUUAAACCUCUCCUCUCCUCCUCUUUCCUUCUUCGAGGGAUUCCGCCCUUGUUAUUCGGCUUGCCUUUCUGCUCUCCGCUUCAGGUUUGCUGCUGUUCCUCAUUCUAAUUGGAUUUCUCUUGCUUUUAGUGUUAUCUUGCUGCUUAAGUUUUAUCUUGUGCAUUGUUGUGGCUUUUGAAUGGUUGUGCAAUUGGAAUUUUGGAUGCUGUAAUUCGGGCCUUAUUCAUAAGGCAUAUUCUUGGGAUAACAUGAUUUCUUGAAAGUUGUGCGCUUGUUUUGGAGGACAUAAGGACUUAGUGUGAUUGGGUUAUGAUUCAUGAGGCAUGUGAAUUAAUUAUCAUCUUGACACCUAGAGCACUGUGUCCUGGCUCUGAUUUGAGUCUAGACCAUUUAAGAGUUCAAGGCAAUAGUGUGAGUUCAUGGUUUGGCAAAAUUGUUAGGCUCCUUAGGGGCCUCACAGUAAGGAAUUUGGUUGAUCAUCAGAGUUGGAGCUUGAAAUGGCAUUGGACUUAGGGGGUUAGGAAGGAGUGUGUUUUGGUGUAGUGGGGAUUUUGAUGUAGGGAAGCAAUUGUGUGAAGAAAAUGAAAAAUGUGUAAUUUAUGUGGAUUUAGUGGAAAAUGGAUUUUUGUUGGCAAAGGUGGCUGGAGGCCCAGGCUUAUGUGGUCUCCUCAUUUUCUAUUACAUGGUGGAGAAAAAGCCAAGAUUUUGCAUCAUAUUGCUGUUGGAAAAAAACUAUAGCAGAGUGAGGUUUAUCUUCAAAGCAUGCUUUUCCAUUUUCUUAGGAAAGACACUGGAUUUAUUCAAUAGCCGUGAUGCAUCGUAGAGAUGAUCAUGUGUUUUUGAUGUGGUUAUUGAUGAGGUCAAUCAUAGAAGCAACUUUUGGCCUACUGAGCUAGUUCAACAUCUAACCUAGUAAUAGCUAUUGAUGAUAAUUUUAACAGUUCAACAUCUAUUUCUUUACAUGGUCUAUUUUAUUGGCAUGCAUCAACUCCCAUAAAUUUUAUGUGGAUUGGUUUACGUUUAGUGAGUCAUUUGGCUAAGUAUUCAACUUUUAUCUAUUUAUUGAAAUUUAGGAGAUUUCUAUAUGUACAGCCAAGUAAGUCUAAUGAGGAAACCAAAUCAAGAACAUUGCUUUUUUGGCAACAUAGUCAUUAUAUUUUGUUUUUCAACAUUCUUCAUGGGUUUGUUGUUGUAACAAUUUUGUUCAUCAAUUAUUCAAUCUAUCUCAAGUUUUACUUCAUCAUUCUUAUUAUGAUUGAGACAAUUUUGCACCAAGAAAGAGGUCCACGUGGUCCUAUAAGCCUCUCAAAAGUACAAAAAUCAUUGUGAAAUAUUUGAGGAAAAUAGUUUAUCUGCAUGUCUGUCCAUAUUCUGACCUGAUGCAUAAUAUCCAUUUUGGGAUUCUCUUUGAAAAUAAAUGCAAGAAACUUUGCAGUCUUUGCAACUUUUUGGUGAUUUUUGAUUAGAGAUCUAACAUUUUUGUAUUUUAGACUGAGAACUGCUUAUUGUUUUCACCCAUUAUGAGUUCUUGGUUAGCAUCUUGCAAUAUAUAUAUAUAUAUAUUUUUUUUUUUGGGGUUGCAAUUGAAGGUUCUCUUUUAUAUUUAGGUAUUUUUUUUUUUGAGGGAAAGAGCUCUUAGAGCUAUUUUAUUAAUAAAAAAUAAACAGUCUACAAAACAGUCAGAAAUACAGAAGAAUACAAAACAAAAGAAAAACCAGAAAACAAGAAAGACAGAACAAACCAACCUGACUAAAAAGAUACAUAAGAAGACUUAAAAAACAAAACCUGAAAAUCUAAGAGAUUUCAUAAGCCAAUUGGGGAGCUCUCUGCCAUGGUGGAAGAGAGACACUUCAUGAUGGUUGAGGCCAUGAAUGGCUACAGAUGAGGGAGCCCUGUUCCAGCACACCGGAAUUGAGUGCACAGAGGAUACACCUAAUUCCGCAAGUAGACCUUUAAUAUCUUGAAUCUGCCGGUUCAAUCUCCAUGCAUCCGAAAAAGAUCCUUGCUGAAUUGCCUUGAUUAAAUCUGCAUUCGGAGAUAAAAGAGUCUUGACAGUGUCGUGCAAACUCCAGUUUAUAUUUAGGGUGGGAGAAGGGAUGACUUGGAUUGUAUUAGAGUACAUGGCCAUCGUUUAUCAUCAGUAGUAGGAUAGCCCUGGUACUCUACCUCACACUUUUUUCCUGCUGAUUCAAACUUCAGUGGUUUGAAACAUCCUAGCCAAGCAUUUCCCUCAACAGAUCUGGUCAUGUUUGCAUUAAUAAUAAGGUGUAAAUUGGUGCUUUGAAUGAUGGAAGGGCUGACCUAGAGUUGGAACAAUAAGAGAAUUUGAAAGUGAUCAACCUUGUGAUGAUGAGAAGGUGACAAAGAAAGAAGCAGCACUUCACCUUGCUCUGUCUCAGCUUGUUGGCGACUUUGAUAGAGACUCUAACUUAUCAUUACACCGUUUUUACUCUUCUCGAUAUGCACCUGUGAUCUCCACAGGCUCUUUGAAACUUGAUCAAGCUCUUGGAAUUGGAGGACUUCCCAAGGGAAGAAUGGUUUGAGGAUAUACGGGCAAAGAGGCAUCUGGACAGACACACUU